rnacentral:lncRNA from 1 species
GAGCUCUACCUAAACCAGCUUUGUAUUUAAGGCCCAGCUCAGAUUCAAUAACUAAACAAGCUCUAUUUCAAGCCAAGCUGAUCACGAGUAGCUUUCCUUCUUUACACCCAGAGUUAAUGAUUCGAGUGAAAGAUGAUGUUGUUCAUGUAUAUGCAUCUCAACAAGACAAACAAAGGAAUAUUAUUAAAAUACAAACAAGAUUUAUAAUAAGAAAAAGCAUUAAUCCAUAAAUUUAUCAUCAACCUUCUUCUUCUUCCUCAAAGGCGGUCGCCGGAAACGUACGCGACAACCCAGCCGGCGUCCCAAACGUAAUCUUCCCACCUUCCGUCACACAAAUAUCCGAAACCGUCACCCAAAUCAACAGCUCUUUACUCUUCACACCGGUCAAAUUCCUCAUCCGACGGUCCUCAACAAACGCCGUAACUUCGCAAUCAUACGACACUUUCCGACUGAUCAUACGGAAGACGUGAUUCGUCUUCUUCUUCCGGCGGACCCACACGAACCCUGUGGCGGCGUUGUGGCCGACCUCCGUGACGUCAGUUAGAGGGAUGAGGCCUUUUGGGAGGGAGAAUUUGGUUAAGAGCUCGUGAGAUUUUUGCUUGCAGAGGGCUUCGCCGGUGAAGAUUUCGGCGUUUUCACGGUGGGAUUGGAUCUGUUGGGAUGACAUUUCGUUGAUGGUGUGAGCGGAGAAUUGUAGGGUUUUGUGGGAGUAUAAAAUAAAUUGGGUGGGGGUAAAAGAAAAGAAAAGAAAUACGCGUCUUCUUGAUAUUAUUAUUGAGAGUAUAAAAAUGGUAUAAAGUGAGUGUAUUUAAGUCAUGCGUGUAGGUCUUAUGUUGCUCAACGAAUUUAAAACGUUCUUGAGUCGAGUAUUGAAUGGGUUUUGA